rnacentral:lncRNA from 1 species
GCCCAAGGCUCCCAGACAGUGAGAGGCGAGUCUUUAAAUCUACUGCUUCACUUGGAGUCAGAGCCAUGUUUACUACUCUGGGAAAUAUGAGCCCUGUCUGCUUCCUGUUCUCCUUGAAGACCAACCAAUACAUAGUGAUGGAGUCUGCAAACGGAGUGACCUCGUCUACCACAUCCAACAAGUGGGCGGUUGGAGAAGACUCGUGCUGGUUUUCACACGACCAGAGCAGGUAGCAUUUGUCCUGCCAGACUAAAUGACCUAAGACUUGACAGGGAGAUGCUGGAUCCUAUGGGAUGCAUAAAGAUGGCUGGCUUUGACUUGUGCGAGGAAAACAGCUGGGAAGGGC